CCUACGGGAGGCAGCAGUGAGGAAUAUUGGUCAAUGGGCGAGAGCCUGAACCAGCCAAGUCGCGUGAGGGAGUACUGCCCUCUGGGUUGUAAACCUCUUUUGUCGGGGAGCAAAAGCCGGACGUGUCCGGCUGUGAGAGUACCCGAAGACAAAGCAUCGGCUAACUCCGUGCAAGCAGCCGCGGUAAUACGGAGGAUGCGAGCGUUAUCCGGAUUUGUUGGGGUUAAAGGGUGCGCAGGCGGAGUUUUAAGUCAGCGGUCAAGUCGUGGGGCUAAACCCCAUCCAGCCGUUGAAACUGGGGAUCUAGAGUGUGCGAGAGGUAUGCGGAAUGCGUGGUGUAGCGGUGAAAUGCAUAGAUAUCACGCAGAACCCCGAUUGCGAAGGCAGCAUACCGGUGCACAACUGACGCUCAGGCACGAAAGCGUGGGUAUCGAACAGGAUUAGAUACCCCAGUAGUC
rnacentral:rRNA from 1 species